CUCUAAAACAAAUGCAAGAGGAAGAAGUCGCGUACCUGCUUUGUUAGAGGCGACGGAGACGAUGGCGAAGCUCUGGCUGGAACGCUGGUGGUGACUUUCGUCUGCUGAACGAAGACAAUGGUUUUUCCUCUGAUUUUCUCUCCUCUUCUCAGUGUUCUGGGUUGUUCAUCACUGGUUUUCUUUUUUUUCUUGCAGGGACGAAGACAAUGGCAGGGCUGAUCUGUGACUCUCCUCUGCCUUUCUCUCCUUCUCUGUGUAUAUAUAUUUUUUGGGUUUAUGCUCUGUUUCUUUUCUGUGAUUUGCUCUGUUUUUGGGUUUUUUGUCUGGGUUUAGCUUCAGUUCUGCCCCUCCCUGUUUUCGUCUUUCACCCCUCGGUUCUUGGCCUGUUCGUCCCUCUCUGUUUUCUGGGUUUUUCCUCUGGGUUUUACUUGAGUUUUCUUCGUCCUCUACUUUGGGUUUUUCUUCCCCUUUUAUAGAGACCCAGCAGCUUGCCUCUAACCAGUCCUACCUUUGCAGGACUGUUAUCUUCCACGAACGAGAUCAUGGGCAAGAGACGUGGUCCAUGAUUGGAUCUGUUGCAGAUUUUCAGGUCUCCGGUUAAAUCGGGAUGAAGAAGAUCACACGACUGUUCCACCAGCAACGACGACGUUUCGGCCAAAAGACACAUUUUCAUUUUGACCCCUGCUUCUUUGGAAAUUCGGCAAUUGGACCUCUAAGCAAUUAAAAUUUUCUUUUAAUUU